GAGAGAGAGAGAGAGCAAGAGAGAGAGAAGGAAAGAGAUGAAACCUGACUGCUCCUAGAGUUGCUGGAGGGAAGGUUCAUUAUGUAGGAACUGAUGCAGACCAGGAUCGCAGAUCCCCCUCUUUGGCACUCAUGUCCAGUCUUCGCGUCAGUGUACAGCCUGACAAGGGCUGGGCAAACCACUGCAGAGAAUGCCUCUAGCUGUGCCGUCCACAGCAGGUGUGUUAUUUCUCUCUGCUGUUACCUCAGGGACAGUGGAUUGUCCAGGAGUGGGAUGCCGGGAAUCCUUACCUUGAGUGACAAGCAGGAGCUAAUCUGCAGCCAGGUCAGGAGAGGUAAGUGAAGUACUAAUUCUGGAGGCAUGAUCCAAAGGGAGCCAGACAUGCCAGUCAUCAAGGUAAAUGUCCAUGGUACCUUCUAUCACAGGCAGGAGCAUGGUACCACUUGUAAUCCCAUCGUGCAGGAGCAGGGGCAGGAGCAUCCCUACACCCUUAAGGCCAUCAGGGACUUCAGGCUACCCAGGCGUACAUGCUAGACUCAGUCUCAAAACACAACAGGAGAAACAGUAUUAUCAUACAUUAUUUU